AGGGUAAAGAGAAAUUGACGGUUAGACUUCUGCGAUUUUCUCCUUCGUCUUCUCCAGCAGCGCUGAGCUUUCCUCUACUUCUUCAUGAUGCGACACAUUUUUUUUCUCUUCGUCCUUCUCAAGUGCGGCGCACAAACCUCCCUCUUCAUCUUAUCGUCGUUCUCAAUUGCCGGCAGAUCACUUCCCCAAUGUUUCCACCAUUGUUAGCUUCUCACCUCCAUCUUCGUCGCACAUAUAACUUCCAUAAACACGCCACAAACUUUAUGAUUCUGAUACAUCACCAUCUCCAAUUUCGACUCAAACAGAAAGUGCUUCAUAAACACGCACACUCGAGAAAAGAACCAGGAAUAUAA